rnacentral:rRNA from 1 species
GUGCCAGCCGCCGCGGUAAUACCGGCAGCCCAAGUGAUGGCCGCUGUUAUUGGGCCUAAAGCGUCCGUAGCUGGCUGCGCAAGUCCGUCGGGAAAUCCACUCGCCCAACGAGUGGGCGUCCAGCGGAAACUGUCCGGCUUGGGGCCGGAAGACCCGAGGGGUACGUCCGGGGUAGGAGUGAAAUCCUGUAAUCCUGGACGGACCGCCGGUGGCGAAAGCGCCUCGGGAGGACGGACCCGACAGUGAGGGACGAAAGCCAGGGUCUCGAACCGGAUUAGAUACCCGUGUAGUCC